rnacentral:rRNA from 1 species
CGGAGGACGUGUGGUUUAAUUCGAUGCUACACGAAGAACCUUACCAGGGUUUGACAUGCAAGUGGUAGGAAACCGAAAGGCGACGACCCUUCGGGGAGCUUGCACAGGUGGUGCAUGGUUGUCGUCAGCUCGUGUCGUGAGAUGUUGGGUUAAGUCCCGCAACGAGCGCAACCCUCGCCUCUAGUUGCCAACAUUCGGUUGGGCACUCUAGAGGGACUGCCGGCGACAAGUCGGAGGAAGGUGGGGAUGACGUCAAAUCAUCAUGCCCCUUAUGACCUGGGCUACACACGUGCUACAAUGGGCGGUACAAAGGGCUGCGAACCCGCGAGGGGGAGCGAAUCCCAAAAAGCCGCUCUCAGUUCGGAUUGCAGGCUGCAACUCGCCUGCAUGAAGCCGGAAUCGCUAGUAAUCGCGGAUCAGAACGCCGCGGUGAAUACGUUCUCGGGGGUUUU